rnacentral:rRNA from 1 species
UACAGAGGGGGCAAGCGUUAUUCGGAAUUAUUGGGCGUAAAGGGCGCGUAGGCGGCAUGGCAAGUGGAUGGUGAAAUCCCUCGGCUUAACCGAGGAACUGCCGUCCAAACUGCUUCGCUUGAGACCGGGAGAGGUGAGUGGAAUUCCCAGUGUAGCGGUGAAAUGCGUAGAUAUUGGGAGGAACACCAGUGGCGAAGGCGGCUCACUGGACCGGUACUGGACGCUGAAGCGCGAAAGCGUGGGGAGCAAACGGGG